AGUGAACGCUGGCGGUAGGCCUAACACAUGCAAGUCGAACGGCAGCACAGUAAGAGCUUGCUCUUACGGGUGGCGAGUGGCGGACGGGUGAGGAAUACAUCGGAAUCUACUUUUUCGUGGGGGAUAACGUAGGGAAACUUACGCUAAUACCGCAUACGACCUACGGGUGAAAGCAGGGGAUCUUCGUACCUUGCGCGAUCGAAUGAGCCGAUGUCGGAUUAGCUAGUUGGCGGGGUAAAGGCCCACCAAGGCGACGAUCCGUAGCUGGUCUGAGAGGAUGAUCAGCCACACUGGAACUGAGACACGGUCAAGACUCCUACGGGAGGCAGCAGUGGGGAAUAUUGGACAAUGGGCGCAAGCCUGAUCCAGCCAUACCGCGUGGGUGAAGAAGGCCUUCGGGUUGUAAAGCCCUUUUGUUGGGAAAGAAAAGCAGCAGGUUAAUACCCCGCUGUUCUGACGGUACCCAAAGAAUAAGCACCGGCUAACUUCGUG
rnacentral:rRNA from 1 species